UUGUGCCUUCCUCCUGUAGUAAAUGGUCUAAUGUUGUGUAAAGAGGUCUGAACUAAUCUACAGCGAGCUCUGUUCUGACCUCGGGCCUUCCUCUUGUAGUAGAUGAAUCCAGCCAGAGAUAAGACCAGACCCAGGAUCAGUCCUGAGGCUCCGAUGGCAAUCUUGUUCCUCUCAGACU